GGGGGUAUGCUAGAGCGGUCAAAUAGGGCAGACUGUAAAUCUGUUGGCUAUGCCUACGGUGGUUCGAAUCCAUCAGCCCCCA
rnacentral:tRNA from 1 species